GAUGAACGCUGGCGGCGUGCUUAACACAUGCAAGUCGAACGGAAAGGCUCCUGCUUGCAGGGGUACUCGAGUGGCGAACAGGUGAGUAACACGUGGGUGAUCUGCCCUGCACUUCGGGAUAAGCCUGGGAAACUGGGUCUAAUACCGGAUAGGACGAUGGUUUGGAUGCCAUUGUGGAAAGUUUUUCGGUGUGGGAUGAGCUCGCGGCCUAUCAGCUUGUUGGUGGGGUAAUGGCCUACCAAGGCGUCGACGGGUAGCCGGCCUGAGAGGGUGUACGGCCACAUUGGGACUGAGAUACGGCCCAGACUCCUACGGGAGGCAGCAGUGGGGAAUAUUGCACAAUGGGCGCAAGCCUGAUGCAGCGACGCCGCGUGGGGGAUGACGGCCUUCGGGUUGUAAACUCCUUUCGCUAGGGACGAAGCGCAAGUGACGGUACCUGGAGAAGAAGCACCGGCUAACUACGUG
rnacentral:rRNA from 1 species